rnacentral:rRNA from 1 species
GAUGAACGCUGGCGGCGUGCCUAAUACAUGCAAGUCGAGCGAACGGACGAGAAGCUUGCUUCUCUGAUGUUAGCGGCGGACGGGUGAGUAACACGUGGAUAACCUACCUAUAAGACUGGGAUAACUUCGGGAAACCGGAGCUAAUACCGGAUAAUAUUUUGAACCGCAUGGUUCAAAAGUGAAAGACGGUCUUGCUGUCACUUAUAGAUGGAUCUGCGCUGCAUUAGCUAGUUGGUAAGGUAACGGCUUACCAAGGCAACGAUGCAUAGCCGACCUGAUAGGGUGAUCGGCCACACUGGAACUGAGACACGGUCCAGACUCCUACGGGAGGCAGCAGUAGGGAAUCUUCCGCAAUGGGCGAAAGCCUGACGGAGCAACGCCGCGUGAGUGAUGAAGGUCUUCGGAUCGUAAAACUCUGUUAUUAGGGAAGAACAUAUGUGUAAGUAACUGUGCACAUCUUGACGGUACCUAAUCAGAAAGCCACGGCUAACUACGUG